rnacentral:lncRNA from 1 species
CCACGUGAGCAGGCCCUUCUCGGGCUCACCCUCCGCCCUCGGCUGCGUGCUGGCCCGAGGCCCCCCGGGGGUACUCGACUGGGCCCCCCUCUCAGGCCUCAGGAGCCUACGGGUUCCCCGGGGGACUGUAGAGCAGGCCCCCCGAAGGGCUCGGCUGGCAGCCCUGCGGCCUGGACGGGGCCUCAGCUGCCUGCCAGCCGGGGUGCAGAGGAAGCCGCCCCACCCGCUGGAGGGCUCUCCUCCUUUCCUCACCUGCAGACGGGCUCCCCCCUGGGGAGCUGGGCCAGGAGCCAGCAGUGCUGGCAGGACAGUGGGGGGCGGCUCCUCCAGCAGCAGGGGGCCCGCUGGAGCCCCUGGGCCCGCAGCCUGGGGAAGGCAGCCCCUGCUCGGGGACACUGGGACGGCAGUGGGGGGAUCUCCCCCGCGCCCCCACCCGCAGCUCAUUCACGCCCACCUCUUUUCCUAUCCCUGUCCUUCCUUCCCCCGCGGAGCUCACCCUUCCAGAACCUGGGUUUGGGUUUGGCGGGACCUGCUGUCCCUGCUGAAAGCCGUCCCCCCUGGCACCCGGGAAACCCCAGGGCAGCUCCCCCCGCAGCCUCGGCCUCAUCCCCGCUCCCUCCUCUCAUUCCCGGGCUCUGCUCCCCAGGGAUCUCCCUGGCUGACCUGCGGCCACGAUGCACUGAAACAGCGUCACUAACCUUUCCCCAUUCCCCACUUCCUGCCCUUCUCCCGCACUGGACUGGCCUCCCGGGUCCGGUCGGCAGGGCCCGGGGGCAGAGCGGCGGGGCCGGCCCCCACCCUGCGGCCCCGGGCAGCACGGGACCGUGUGGACGACGCCCGGGGCCGCGGCGAUGGGCCCAGCACGGAGGGACUGGCAGCGGGGACUGCCGAGCUCCCCCCGAGUCACCUGACCAGCCUCACGCGAGGGAAGAGGCCUUUGUGCCCGGGAUCAUCGACUGGGAGCUUCGUACAUUUGGUCCUACAAACGAGUGCAACUUCGGGGCGCCUGGCGGGCUCCGCUGA